GGGUUGUGAGGUUAAGCGACUAAGCGUACACGGUGGAUGCCCUGGCAGUCAGAGGCGAUGAAGGACGUGCUAAUCUGCGAAAAGCGUCGGUAAGGUGAUAUGAACCGUUACAGCCGGCGAUGUCCGAAUGGGGAAACCCAGUGCAAUUCGUUGCACUAUCGUUAACUGAAUACAUAGGUUAACGAGGCGAACCGGGGGAACUGAAACAUCUAAGUACCCCGAGGAAAAGAAAUCAACCGAGAUUCCCCCAGUAGCGGCGAGCGAACGGGGAGCAGCCCAGAGUCUGAAUCAGCUUGUGUGUUAGUGGAACGGUCUGGAAAGUCCGACGGUACAGGGUGAUAGUCCCGUACACCAAAAUGCACAGGCUGUGAACUCGAAGAGUAGGGCGGGACACGUGGUAUCCUGUCUGAAUAUGGGGGACCAUCCUCCAAGGCUAAAUACUCCUGACUGACCGAUAGUGAACCAGUACCGUGAGGGAAAGGCGAAAAGAACCCCGGCGAGGGGUGAAAAGAACCUGAAACCGUGUACGUACAAGCAGUGGGAGCACCUUCGGGUGUGACUGCGUACCUUUGUAUAAUGGGUCAGCGACUUAUAUUCUGUAGCAAGGUUAACCGUAUAGGGAGCCGCAGGGAAACCGAGUCUUAACUGGGCGUUAAGUUGCAGGGUAUAGACCCGAAACCCGGUGAUCUAGCCAUGGGCAGGUUGAAGGUUGGGUAACACUAACUGGAGGACCGAACCGACUAAUGUUGAAAAAUUAGCGGAUGACUUGUGGCUGGGGGUGAAAGGCCAAUCAAACCGGGAGAUAGCUGGUUCUCCCCGAAAGCUAUUUAGGUAGCGCCUCGUGAACUCAUCUUCGGGGGUAGAGCACUGUUUCGGCUAGGGGGUCAUCCCGACUUACCAACCCGAUGCAAACUACGAAUACCGAAGAAUGUUAUCACGGGAGACACACGGCGGGUGCUAACGUCCGUCGUGAAGAGGGAAACAACCCAGACCGCCAGCUAAGGUCCCAAAGUCAUGGUUAAGUGGGAAACGAUGUGGGAAGGCACAGACAGCCAGGAUGUUGGCUUAGAAGCAGCCAUCAUUUAAAGAAAGCGUAAUAGCUCACUGGUCGAGUCGGCCUGCGCGGAAGAUGUAACGGGGCUAAACCAUGCACCGAAGCUGCGGCAGCGACACUAUGUGUUGUUGGGUAGGGGAGCGUUCUGUAAGCCUGCGAAGGUGACCUGUGAGGGUUGCUGGAGGUAUCAGAAGUGCGAAUGCUGACAUAAGUAACGAUAAAGCGGGUGAAAAGCCCGCUCGCCGGAAGACCAAGGGUUCCUGUCCAACGUUAAUCGGGGCAGGGUGAGUCGACCCCUAAGGCGAGGCCGAAAGGCGUAGUCGAUGGGAAACAGGUUAAUAUUCCUGUACUUGGUGUUACUGCGAAGGGGGGACGGAGAAGGCUAUGUUAGCCGGGCGACGGUUGUCCCGGUUUAAGCAUGUAGGCUGAUUAUCCAGGCAAAUCCGGAUAAUCAAGGCUGAGGUGUGAUGACGAGGCACUACGGUGCUGAAGUAACAAAUGCCCUGCUUCCAGGAAAAGCCUCUAAGCAUCAGGUAACAUCAAAUCGUACCCCAAACCGACACAGGUGGUCAGGUAGAGAAUACCAAGGCGCUUGAGAGAACUCGGGUGAAGGAACUAGGCAAAAUGGUGCCGUAACUUCGGGAGAAGGCACGCUGGUGUGUAGGUGAAGUCCCUGCGGAUGGAGCUGAGACCAGUCGAAGAUACCAGCUGGCUGCAACUGUUUAUUAAAAACACAGCACUGUGCAAACACGAAAGUGGACGUAUACGGUGUGACGCCUGCCCGGUGCCGGAAGGUUAAUUGAUGGGGUUAUCCGUAAGGAGAAGCUCUUGAUCGAAGCCCCGGUAAACGGCGGCCGUAACUAUAACGGUCCUAAGGUAGCGAAAUUCCUUGUCGGGUAAGUUCCGACCUGCACGAAUGGCGUAAUGAUGGCCAGGCUGUCUCCACCCGAGACUCAGUGAAAUUGAACUCGCUGUGAAGAUGCAGUGUACCCGCGGCAAGACGGAAAGACCCCGUGAACCUUUACUAUAGCUUGACACUGAACAUUGAGCCUUGAUGUGUAGGAUAGGUGGGAGGCUUUGAAGCGUGGACGCCAGUCUGCGUGGAGCCAACCUUGAAAUACCACCCUUUAAUGUUUGAUGUUCUAACGUUGGCCCCUUACCGGGGUUGCGGACAGUGUCUGGUGGGUAGUUUGACUGGGGCGGUCUCCUCCCAAAGCGUAACGGAGGAGCACGAAGGUUAGCUAAUCCUGGUCGGACAUCAGGAGGUUAGUGCAAUGGCAUAAGCUAGCUUGACUGCGAGCGUGACGGCGCGAGCAGGUGCGAAAGCAGGUCAUAGUGAUCCGGUGGUUCUGAAUGGAAGGGCCAUCGCUCAACGGAUAAAAGGUACUCCGGGGAUAACAGGCUGAUACCGCCCAAGAGUUCAUAUCGACGGCGGUGUUUGGCACCUCGAUGUCGGCUCAUCACAUCACGGGGCUGAAGUAGGUCCCAAGGGUAUGGCUGUUCGCCAUUUAAAGUGGUACGCGAGCUGGGUUUAGAACGUCGUGAGACAGUUCGGUCCCUAUCUGCCGUGGGCGCUGGAGAAUUGAGGGGCUGCUCCUAGUACGAGAGGACCGGAGUGGACGCAUCACUGGUGUUCGGGUUGUCAUGCCAAUGGCACUGCCCGGUAGCUAAAUGCGGAAGAGAUAAGUGCUGAAAGCAUCUAAGCACGAAACUUGCCCCGAGAUGAGUUCUCCCUGAGACUUUAAGUCUCCUGAAGGAACGUUAAAGACGAUGACGUUGAUAGGCCGGGUGUGUAAGCGCAGCGAUGCGUUGAGCUAACCGGUACUAAUGAACCGUGAGGCUUAACCUUACAACGCCGAAG
rnacentral:rRNA from 1 species